rnacentral:rRNA from 1 species
GACGAACGCUGGCGGCGUGCCUAAUACAUGCAAGUCGAGCGCAGGAAAUCGACGGAACCCUUCGGGGGGAAGUCGACGGAAUGAGCGGCGGACGGGUGAGUAACACGUAAAGAACCUGCCCUCAGGUCUGGGAUAACCACGAGAAAUCGGGGCUAAUACCGGAUGGGUCAUCGGACCGCAUGGUCCGAGGAUGAAAGGCGCUUCGGCGUCGCCUGGGGAUGGCUUUGCGGUGCAUUAGCUAGUUGGUGGGGUAAUGGCCCACCAAGGCGACGAUGCAUAGCCGACCUGCGAGGGUGAUCGGCCACACUGGGACUGAGACACGGCCCAGACUCCUACGGGAGGCAGCAGUAGGGAAUCUUCCACAAUGGACGAAAGUCCGAUGGAGCAACGCCGCGUGAACGAUGAAGGCCUUCGGGUCGUAAAGUUCUGUUGUAAGGGAAGAACAAGUGCCGCAGGCAAUGGCGGCACCUUGACGGUACCUUGCGAGAAAGCCACGGCUAACUACGUGCCAGCCGCCGCAGUAA